rnacentral:lncRNA from 1 species
GCCUGUGGGUUUAAUAUACAAAAAAGGCAGUUUUGUAUUCUUUGAUAUUAAGUUCAAUUAUCGAUGCAGAAAAGACAUUUUUUUUCUGUGUCCAGUAGCAUCGUAGAGCAUAUUCUUAAAAUAUUUUCCCGCACAAUAUCUGGACAUUGGUGGACAUGCAACAUUGCGCACGUUUAGAAAUGAAAAUCAACACUCAGACUAUAGUCAUAAAGUAGGAAAAUAAAAGAACAAAAGACCGUGAAACCCGAGACACAGAAGUACAAACAAUAGACCAUCAACUCCGAAAACCAAAAGUAAAAUAGAAACAUGGAUCACGAAAAAAAUGCAGGGGCGACAUCAGGGAGUGAAGAGAACUUGCUUCUUGCACGACACUUUCCGUGAAAACAAUUUGAUAUGAAGACAAUCUUUUUUUUCAGUCUUUUUUUUUUUUUUUUUUUUAAAUUUCCAUCAUGAGGCAUUUGCCUCAUUUGCCUCAAUGUAGUUACGGCCCUGUAUUCAUGUUAGACCUCAUUCGUGAGUCAAAACUUGUAUGUCAGAGGUCAUUACUUUUGUAUAGACAAUAUGAACGUCCAAUGCUAG